rnacentral:lncRNA from 10 species
CACCACCACCCCUCCUGUUAAUUUCCUGCUGAAUUGCAGCUCAACGCAUGUGCUGGGAUUUCAAGUCCUGCCCUAAUCAAUUUACUACCACCUCCCCAACCUUAACCCCAACCUACACGCACCUUCCUACGCUGGCCUGUGCGUGCAGCCUGCCCUGGCCUCUACUGUGACGCCUACCACGUUAUAUUUGUAAUGAUUUGUUUAUGACUGUCCCCAUACUAGGGAAGGCAUCGAGCUUGAGGAAGAGGCCCCAUUCAUCUCCGUACCCCAGGCCCUGGUACACAGCAGGCAGAUAAACCUGCCAGUAAUUUCAGCAAAUGAAACGUGGAACACGUCAAGGCCAGAGGAUGGAAAAGGCUCCAGUUUUGAUAAAAGGAGGCCUGCUUGGCUUGGAAUCCUCUCUCCUGCUGGUUGGGAGAUGCAAAGAUGUUUCCAGAGAGGGGCUGAUGAAUUGAGGGGAAAGAAAUGAGCCCAGUAUGAGUCCCCUUUCAGGGCUGAGCGUGUAUAAAACCAAACAACUUGGAACCGCUCCAAGAGAGGGGAUUAAAGCAACAUGUUAUUCUGAGUGAUUGCUUAAUUUAUUGAGCUGCGGCUGGAUCUGUAAUGAAAUACAGCCCUUGUAACUGAUAACCUCCUGCUGCCAUUGAACUUCUACAAUUAAGGAAUAUUUUCUGAGUUUCUCUGGAACGGCUCUGAAUUUUUAGCCUCUGUGGUAGGGUGCUUCUGAACAUUUGUUUUCCAGGCAAUUUUUUUUGAGUAUUAGGCUGAUGUUAAUAAAUAAGCAGCAUUUUAUUGAGUGUUUUGUGGGAACCAGGAACUUUAUAUACAUUGUUUCUAAUCCUGACACUAAUCCUGUCAAUAUCCAGUGAAAUAACCCCUAUUAUUCCCUAUUUUACAGAUGUGAAGCCACGAG